rnacentral:rRNA from 1 species
UAUGUGAUCGUCUCUCGCAUAUCAAUAAGCGGAGGAAAAGAAACUAACAAGGAUUCCCCUAGUAACGGCGAGUGAAGCGGGAAGAGCUCAAAUUUGAAAUCUUAAAGGGUUUCCCUUUACGAAUUGUAGUUUAAAGAAGUGUUUUCUGUUGAGGUUUUGGUAAAAGUUCUUUGGAAUAGGACAUCAUAGAGGGUGAGAAUCCCGUAUUUGACCUUUACUUUCAACUUUGUGAUACACUUUCAAAGAGUCGGAUUGUUUGGGAAUGCAGUCCAAAAUGGGUGGUAAAUUUCAUCUAAAGCUAAAUAUUGGCGAGAGACCGAUAGCGAACAAGUACCGUGAGGGAAAGAUGAAAAGAACUUUGAAAAGAGAGUUAAACAGUACGUGAAAUUGUCAAAAGGGAAGCGUUUGACACCAGUGUUGUUUUUCUGAAAAUCAAUUAAAGAACUGUUUAUGCUAAGUUGUUUAGACUUUAUCAGCUAUCUGUUUAGUUUUGAGCUUUUCUUUAAUGCACUUUUCAGUUAACAAGUCAACAUCAAUUUCUUUUGCUGUAAAAAAGCUUGAGGAAGGUGGCCUGAGAUUCGUCUUAAGUGUUUAUAGCCUCUUGCCUAUGCAGUCGGAGAGAUUGAGGUCUGCAGCGUAGAUCCUUCGGGGCUAAAUGCAUUUGUGCUAAGUUAUAGCAUUUUAUAGACAACUUGUUGACUAUGAUUUGUCUUGUAGCUUACUCGCUUAUGUUAUUUUACCUACGCUUAGGAUGUUGAUCUACAGAGCGAGAGU